GGAGACCGCCGGGGUCAACUCGGAGGAAGGUGGGGACGACGUCAAGUCAUCAUGCCCCUUAUGUCUUGGGCUGCACACGUGCUACAAUGGCCGGUACAAAGAGCUGCGAUACCGUGAGGUGGAGCGAAUCUCAAAAAGCCGGUCUCAGUUCGGAUUGGGGUCUGCAACUCGACCCCAUGAAGUCGGAGUUGCUAGUAAUCGCAGAUCAGCAUUGCUGCGGUGAAUACGUUCCCGGGCCUUGUACACACCGCCCGUCACGUCACGAAAGUCGGUAACACCCGAAGCCGGUGGCCCAACCCCUUGUGGGAGGGAGCUGUCGAAGGUGGGACUGGCGAUUGGGACGAAGUCGUAACAAGGUAGCCGUACCGGAAGGUGCGGCUGGAUCACCUCCUUU
rnacentral:rRNA from 1 species